rnacentral:misc_RNA from 1 species
AACGCACCUUGCGCUCCUUGGUAUUCCGAGGAGCAUGCCUGUUUGAGUGUCAUUUAAUUCUCAACCCAUCUGGCUUUUGUUAAGUCAGUAUGAGGCUUGGAUAUGAGGGUUUAUGCAGGCCUUUUUAAUACAAAGGUCAGCUCCCUUGAAAUGUAUUAGCGGAACUGUUUGCAAUCCGUCACUGGUGUGAUAAUUAUCUACGCCAACUUGACAUUGGAAUGCUCUCUAUGUGUUCAGCUUCUAAUUGUCCAUUACGGACAACCAUUUAUUGACAGUUUGACCUCAGAUCAGGUAGGACUACCCGCUGAACUUAA